AUGUUGCAUGUUGUGAUAAUGACAGACGACGUUCAACUACCAAACGACUCUGCAAUGUUAUGAACUAUUCACGUUUCCGAUAACAGGGGCGGAAUGGGACGGAUAACAGUGUGCAGCCGAUCCUAUUUCUAUUACCAGUCUAAGUUUUUUUCCUGGCAAUGUCGGCGAUGUAUGAGCGUGGCAGUUGCAGAUGAGAGCCAUGAGACGAGAUCCAACUCCUCGACACAGAACGUCAAACCAUUCAAAGACAUACCCGGUCCAAAGGGCCUGCCUUAUCUCGGGACAAUUCUGCAGUAUAGAAAAGAUAUAAAGAAUACGGCCCGAUCGUCAAGGAGACCAUUGCUGGUGUUACCUUUGUCCGAAUCUAUGACCCAGAUGAUGUCAGAACAGUUUUCUUAAAUGAAGACAAACAGCCUCAUGUUGCCCCACUUCUGGACACAACAAAGCAAUACAGAGAGCAGAGAGAUCUUUCACCAGGCCUUGGAAACACAAAUGGGGAAGAAUGGUACAGACUUAGGAGUGCAGUGCAGCAGAUGAUGAUGAGGCCAAAAGCAGUCACCGUUUAUCUCCCCUUUGUGGAGGAAGUUGUGGAUGAUUUUAUUGCACGGAUUAAGAAAAUCCACAACAGUGAUGGGACAAUUGAAAAUUUUAGAUUGGAAGCAGCAAAGUGGAACUUAGAGUCCUCUGGUAUGACCUGUUUUGAGACUCGCCUUGGUUGUCUUGUGGACUCACCUACCUCUCACAUUGUGCGCAUGAUCUCUAGUAACAAUGCCAUAUUUGAACUUUCCACAAAAAUAAACUUCUCUGUGCCUUUCCAUAAACUCUUCACAACAAGACUGUGGCAAAAACUUCUUGAUGAAGAAGACUAUUUCUUUAGAAAUGGACAGAAACUGGUUGAUGAGACAAUAGCCAAGAUUGACCGUCUACAAAAAGAAGGAAACCUAAAGGACGGACAGUUUAACUUCCUGUUAUAUCUGUUGUCUAAGAAGGAGCUGUCUUUUAAAGAUGUCAGCAUAAUAACCCUGUCUCUGUUUGGGGAUGGACUAAAUACAACUGUGCCAACCCUAAUAUUUGCCAUGUACUGUUUGGCCAAGAAUCCAGAUGUCCAACAGAAGGCUUAUGAAGAAAUCCGAGAGGUUCUGAAGGAUGAUGAACCUAUCACAGGGGAACACAUUAAUAGAAUGCCAUACCUCAAAGCAUGCGUCAAGGAGUCACAGAGGAUUUUGCCAAUUGGACUUGAGAUAAAAAGGAUCUUGAAGAAGGACUUAGUACUUGGAAAUUAUCUUGUACCAGCAGGGACUACAGUUGAAUUGGCCCCCUAUGUACACUACAUGUCGUCAGAGUAUUUUGUGGAGCCAGACCGAUUUCUACCGGAGCGCUGGUUGAGGGACGGAUCUGCUCUGAAUAUCCAUCCAUAUCUACUGACGCCAUUUGGGCAUGGUCCCAGGAUGUGUGCAGGGCGACGAUUUGCAGAACAAGAGCUUUAUGUGCUGUUGUCCAAGAUGCUGAAGAACUUUAGACUGGAGUACAGUGGUGACCUUGACAUGAAGUUCCAAGUGUUGAUGGUUCCUGACCGGCCAACGUCUUUUACUUUCAAGGACAGACUCUGAGCAUACCGACACUGAAAUUGAAAUCAUUGAUACAUUAUAAUCAUGUCCUGUCAUAAAAUGCUUAUUGACAUUUAAUACCAGGUGCUUUCAAUGUUUUAUGGAGUCUAUCCUUUGAUAAUUCACUGGAAAACUUCAUACUUGAAGUUAUAUAUAUAAUAUAUAUCCAUGAAUCAUCUGACAAUCUGAUUUAAACUUGAUCCUUUGGUCCAUUCACUUGCAUAUUAAUAUUAAAUGCUAUUUUUUCUUCAUACCCACAUCAAUUUUUUUCAACUGAAAUGAUAUAUAAUUCAUUGUUAUACCAUGAAAAUAUUGUGAUUCUUUCAGCUUGAACUUAAAAUAAAAAAAGAGAUUCAAUUCC
rnacentral:misc_RNA from 1 species